rnacentral:rRNA from 1 species
GACGAACGCUGGCGGCGUGCUUAACACAUGCAAGUCGAACGGAAGGGCCCUGUUCUUGUGGGGUCUUCGAGAGCCGAACAGGGGUGUGUCACGUGAGUAACCUCCCCUUUACUUUGGGGUACCUCCUGGGAACUCGGGUUCUAAUAGCGCAUAAACUCUUUCAGCACGGGUUGGAUGGUAGAAUGUCGCCAUUGCGGCGGGUAGGGAUGGUUUCGCGUUGUAUUAGCUUGGUGGUGGGGUACCAGCUCAUCAAGGGGUUGACGGGUAGCCGGCCUGAGAGGGAGACCGGCCACAUUGGGACUGGGAUGGGGGCCAGACUCAUACGGGAGGCAGCGGUGGGGAAUAUUGCACGAAGGGCGGAAGGCUGAUGGAGCAACGCCGGGUGCGGGAUGACGGUCUUCGGGUUGUAAACCGCUUUAGCCUGGGACGAAGAGUGAGUGACGGUAAUGGGUAAAGAAGCACCGGCUAACUACGUG